UACGAAGGGGGCUAGCGUUGUUCGGAAUCACUGGGCGUAAAGCGCACGCAGGCGGAUCGUUAAGUCAGGGGUGAAAUCCCGAGGCUCAACCUCGGAACUGCCUUUGAUACUGUCGAUCUUUGAGUCCGGGAGAGGUGAGUGGAACUCCGAGUGUAGAGGUGAAAUUCGUAGAUAUUCGGAAGAACACCAGUGGCGAAGGCGGCUCACUGGCCCGGUACUGACGCUCAUGUGCGAAAGCGUGGGGAGCAAACAGG
rnacentral:rRNA from 1 species